CCCAGCAAACAUUGGUCGGACGGCAACGUCGUCUCCCUGGCCAAAAGAGGUCGCGGCAGGACGCCACAAAUGGUGUACUAUUGGUCCGAAAUCAACGUCGUCUCCCCGUCCAAAAUUAGUCGGUGCUGGACGGCACAAAUGCACAACAUGUCCUAAAAUGCAUUUAUGUAGUCCUUGUGAAAUAUGCAAAUGCUGUGCGUACACCUUGGUUAAUACUGCAAUAAUUAAUUUAAGUGAACAAAGUAUAUUUUUAAGAGGUUAUGAAUAGACGUCCACUCACGUCUUUUACACGUCUAGACUAGACUCGUAGGAAAAAAAACAUAAUAAUCUUUAUGAAAUACACGAUUUGUAUGCAAAGUAAAUAUAUUAACUUUAUCUUGUUUAAAUAAAUUAUAAUCACAAAGUGCCCAGUGUGAUUGCAAAGCCACGCUGCAUUUUAGUCAUUAUUUCAACCUGUUUUAUUAUUGAAUGUAUGCAUAUAAAUGUAAAACAGAUACAUAUCCGGUCACCAUUUAGGUGUGAGUUGGAUGUAAUUUCAAAAACUGUGAUUCCAAUAUUAUUUUAAGAAAUAUAUUACAAAAUCCCGCGAUAGGACAGAUUAUCUCGCGAGAUAGUGGUCACGUCACGCGUUCUUCCGGAAGUUCACAUUCAAACACGAGGAGCGAUUACGAGGGAGUUUUGUCUAUAUAUUAUGCAAAAUCUACUGUUGGGUAAGUACAUUGUGUAUUAUUUAAUUAACGUGCUUAAGUUUUACUUGUUUGACACGAAGGCUCCGAAAUAAACGUUGCCAGAAUUGUCCACACUGAGUAUGGCGAAAAUUAGCUAGAAGGCUAAAAGCUAACGUACUUUGAAGUUAUAACGUUACAUGGUAUAAAGUAUGUUUAAGGAUACAGUCAAAGUUAUUACUGUAACUAAUUAAUGUAGCCUCUUGAAAGUCUCUUUCAGAAGGUAAAUUAUCUGAAAAAUAAAAGUUAUUUGGCAUUAAUGGAAUUACAAUGAUUUGAUUGCCUAAACAUUGCACAUGCAAAAUAUUAAAUACUGUUUUGCAUUAAAAGUUCAGCAUAAGUGUUUGUUUGAUUAACUUCCUUUGCUUUUGUUUUGUACAAAGGAAAAGCAGAACCUCAUCCAAAUAAAAAUAAACAAGCUGUUAAAGGCACUGUGUCCUACACAGACCCUCCAAAUUAUAACCACCCAAGUCAGUUGAAGAUCAACACAAACCAAAUAAAGAUGGGCAUUCUACAAACAAUAACAAAAGAUCAAGUUUUGUGUCCAACACACUUGGAUGAGACAUGCCCGAUCCCUGACUUUGUCUACCCUACAUUAAGUUGCACACUUCAUGACAGUAAACAUCGGUAUCAAGAUGGUGUGAUUGAUCUAUACCCUGGCCUAGAAUAAGCUGUGACACUAUGAGACGGUCACAUAAUGAACAGGCAUCUUACAGACAACCGAAAGAGGCAUACGUAUUCUCUACAAUCCCAAAUUCUGGAUUGACGCCCCAGUACCAGAGGGCACCCCAAUCCCAGAGAGCACGCCAAUCCCCGAGAGCAUCCAUCUGAAAGCAGGUGAGGUAACACAACGAAAAACUAACAGGAUGGAGACUACCUGAUUCUUCACCUAUGGCCUCAGCUUCAAAUGCAAGAAGUCCAGCAACUGUCUGAGUUGGUGGAUAUUCUGUCAGAGACUGCGUGAACAAUGUUAUGAACAGAAUGAUGUCUAAUUGUCUUAUGGCAAAGUUCAAUAUGAGGGGUGGUGGACAUCUGGAAAAGAAGUCUUUUAAAGGCACACCUUUGUAUUAUGUUAUUCAAGAUGCUGUGAAGAGGUGGAGCCCAAAUGCCAGAGACUCGGGAAAUAGAUGCAGCUAUGGCAGACCACCUCAAGCACGGUCCAGGAAGAGAGCUGGGGGUUGUGAAUACACUAAAUAAGCCAAACAGCUGUAAUGUGUAAAAGAGAGAGUUCACCCUAAAAUGAAAAUUGUUAUAAUUUUCUUACCCACAUGUUUCAAACCUGUAUACAUUUCUUUUUCUGCUGAACAUAAAGAUUGAAAAAUGUUUGUAACCAAGCUAACUGUCAAUAAUUUUUUUUUACAAUUGUAGUAAUGGGUUGUGAGAUCUGCUUUCUAUUCUUUCAAAUAUCUUUGUGUUCAGCAGAACAUAGAAAGGUAUACAGGUUUGAAACAUAAGAUAGAGUAAAUUACUAAAUAAUCAUUUUUGGGUGAACUAUCCUUUUAUAUAAUAAAGUAUUUUGAAAUUGUUAUUAUAGUUAAACGGUUUAAAAAAAAUAAAAAGUGCUAAAUCAGAACAUGCUUCUUUUUUUUGCUUAUGUCCACAAAUAAUGUGUUGUUCUUUAAUGUGUUUGUGAAAUACACGUGAUUACAACGUUGUAAAGACGUUCAGGUUUGACUGGACUGAAUUUGUGUAUUUUAAGAACCUUUAUAAUUGCCUAUUACAAAGUAGCCUGUUUUAUAUGCACGUUUAAGUGAGUAUAACCCAUGAAUUAAGCAGAGACUCAUAUUACCGUCAUGAAGAGGACAUUUUUAGACGUGCACGGACCGUGCAGAAAAGACGUGUGAUUCACGGUCAGAUGACGUCAAAGACGUCGGUUGGAUUUUCAUUUUGGAACUAUUUUUCAACCAUGACGGGACGUGACGAACGGACGUCUUUUCAACGGUCAUCACACGUCCAAAUGUUUG